ensembl:rRNA 5S_rRNA 5S ribosomal RNA
GUCUAUGGCCAUACCACCCUGAACGAACCCGAUCUCAUCUGAUCUCAGAAACUAAGCAGGGUCAGGCCUGGUUAGUACUUGGAUGGCAGAAAGUGUAAAAUCUGGAUUACUAAAAUCA